AAUCCAUGCAUAGGACACUUCCGUAUCAAAUCCUUGAAUAUUUCUCAUGCUUCAUAAAAGUUUUCAUCCUCUAUUUUAUUGAAUUAAGUUAAAUCAUUUCAGAGUUU